GACGAACGCUGGCGGCGUGCUUAACACAUGCAAGUCGAACGAUGAAGAAGAGAAACGCGAACUUCGGUUCAAAUUUCACUUCGGAUUAGUGGCAGACGGGUGAGUAACGCGUGAGCAACCUACCUCUUACAAAGGGAUAGCCUCGGGAAACCGUGAUUAAUACCAUAUGACACAUUCAUAAGGCAUCUUAAGAAUGUUAAAGCUACGGCGGUAAGAGAUGGGCUCGCGUCCCAUUAGCUAGUUGGUGAGGUAACGGCCCACCAAGGCGACGAUGGGUAACCGGCCUGAGAGGGUGAACGGUCACAUUGGAACUGAGACACGGUCCAAACUCCUACGGGAGGCAGCAGAGGGGAAUAUUGCACAAUGGAGGGAACUCUGAUGCAGCGACGCCGCGUGAGCGAUGAAGGAAUUCGUUUCGUAAAGCUCUGUUCUAUGGGAAGAAAAGGACUGUACCAUAGGAGAAAGCCCCGGCUAAAUACGUG
rnacentral:rRNA from 1 species